AGGAUAUGGGCAUUGCUGGCUCGGCCAGAAUUUAUUGCCCAGAGGGCUGUCCAGAGUCAACUGCAUUGCUGUGGGACUGGAGUAACGUACAGGCCAGACCAGGGAAUUGGAAAGGGGGAAUUCACAGACAGGCAGCUCAAGUCAAACAUUGGAUCAAGAGCUGCCAGUAACACUUGGUCCUCAGGAGCUUUGAACAUGGAAGGUAAAAGCAACGUUCACAGUGAAGAGAAACCAUACACGUGGUCUGUGUGGACAAGCCUUCAGUCAAUUGUCUGGCCUGUCGAUACGUAAAUGCAGUCAAAACAGGGUGACAACAAUGACAUCAAGCAGCACUUGCUUUGUAAUGUCAUGGUCAUGGAUCUCAGUUUGAGUUCAGCAAGAGCCACUCAGCUCCUGGUCUCCUUACAAUCUUGGUGCAAACAUGGACCAAACAGCUGAAUUCCAAAUGUGAGGGACUAUCCGCUAUCUUAAGGCUCCAUUUGACACGGCAUUGUAUUAAGGAAUCAUAACAAAGCUAAAGUCAAUGGGAACGAGAGGAUGUUAUUCUUCCUUAGAUAGCCGGUUUUUGAAAAGAUUGCAUCUUCAGACCUCGGUAGAUCAAAACAAGGUGAAUUUAAUCAAACUUGUACCACAGACAUGUGGAAGAGGUCUCGAAGUCUAGCUUGGAGACACUCAACUUUUUACAGCUCAAUACAGCAUAUUAAGACACCUUCAUGUCAGAAUGGUUGCACGUAACAUUGGUAUUAAAUAAAUUGUAUGUCAGUUACUUACUACAAA